rnacentral:rRNA from 1 species
GAUGAACGCUGACAGAAUGCUUAACACAUGCAAGUCAACUUGAACUUCGGUUUGGGUGGCGGACGGGUGAGUAACGCGUAAAGAACUUGCCUCACAGCUAGGGACAACAUUUGGAAACGAAUGCUAAUACCUGAUAUUAUGAUUUUAGGGCAUCCUAGGAUUAUGAAAGCUAUAUGCGCUGUGAGAGAGCUUUGCGUCCCAUUAGCUAGUUGGAGAGGUAACGGCUCACCAAGGCGAUGAUGGGUAGCCGGCCUGAGAGGGUGAACGGCCACAAGGGGACUGAGACACGGCCCUUACUCCUACGGGAGGCAGCAGUGGGGAAUAUUGGACAAUGGACCAAGAGUCUGAUCCAGCAAUUCUGUGUGCACGAUGACGUUUUUCGGAAUGUAAAGUGCUUUCAGUUGGGAAGAAAAAAAUGACGGUACCAACAGAAGAAGUGACGGCUAAAUACGUGCCAGCAGCCGCGGUAAUACGUAUGUCACAAGCGUUAUCCGGAUUUAUUGGGCGUAAAGCGCGUCUAGGUGGUUAUGUAAGUCUGAUGUGAAAAUGCAGGGCUCAACUCUGUAUUGCGUUGGAAACUGUGUAACUAGAGUACUGGAGAGGUAAGCGGAACUACAAGUGUAGAGGUGAAAUUCGUAGAUAUUUGUAGGAAUGCCGAUGGGGAAGCCAGCUUACUGGACAGAUACUGACGCUGAAGCGCGAAAGCGUGGGUAGCAAACAGG